rnacentral:rRNA from 1 species
CCUACGGGAGGCAGCAGUGAGGAAUAUUGGUCAAUGGGCGAGAGCCUGAACCAGCCAAGUCGCGUGAGGGAGUACUGCCCUAUUGGUUGUACACCUCUUUUGUCGGGGAGCAAAAGCCGGACGUGUCCGGCUGUGAGAGUACCCGAAGAAAAAGCAUCGGCUAACUCCGUGCCAGCAGCCGCGGUAAUACGGAGGAUGCGCGCGUUAUCCGGAUUUAUUGGGUUUAAAGGGUGCGCAGGCGGAUUUUUAAGUCAGCGGUCAAAUCGUGGGGCUCAACCCCAUCCAGCCGUUGAAACUGGGGAUCUAGAGUGUGCGAGAGGUAUGCGGAAUGCGUGGUGUAGCGGUGAAAUGCGUAGAGAUAUGGAAGAACACCAGUGGCGAAAGCGGCUCUCUGGUCUGUAACUGACGCUGAGGUUCGAAAGCGUGGGUAGCAAACAGGAUUAGAUACCCUUGUAGUC